rnacentral:rRNA from 1 species
GAGUUUGAUCGUGGCUCAGAACGAACGCUGGCGGCAGGCCUAACACAUGCAAGUCGAACGCCCUCUUUCGGGAGGGAGUGGCGCACGGGUGAGUAACGCGUGGGAAUCUGCCCUUUGGUUCGGAAUAACCCUGGGAAACUAGGGCUAACGCCGGAUAAGCCCGAGAGGGGAAAGUUUACGCCGAAGGAGGAGCCCGCGUCCGAUUAGCUAGUUGGUGAGGUAAGAGCUUACCAAGGCGACGAUCGGUAGCUGGUCUGAGAGGACGAUCAGCCACACUGGGACUGAGACACGGCCCAGACUCCUACGGGAGGCAGCAGUGGGGAAUAUUGGACAAUGGGCGCAAGCCUGAUCCAGCCAUGCCGCGUGAGUGAUGAAGGCCUUC